rnacentral:rRNA from 1 species
UACGUAGGGUGCGAGCGUUGCCCGGAUUUAUUGGGCGUAAAGAGCGUGUAGGCGGCUAGGUAGGUCCGUUGUGAAAACUCGAGGCUCAACCUCGAGACGUCGAUGGAAACCAUCUAGCUAGAGUCCGGAAGAGGAGAGUGGAAUUCCUGGUGUAGCGGUGAAAUGCGCAGAUAUCAGGAAGAACACCCGUGGCGAAGGCGGCUCUCUGGUACGUGACUGACGCUGAGACGCGAAAGCGUGGGGAGCGAACAGG